UCCGAGCGAUCUGUCGCUGACUCGCUUCACUCGGAAAGAAAAAUGCAUCGCUCUAGGGAUCCAAACGAGGCAUUGAUACAAGCAGGAUGCGGCGGCGCCGGCGCCGGCGGUCGUCGUUGAUGCAGCCGAGGCGUCGAUCCAGUCCAGCGGAGGCGCGGUUGGGGAUCAAGCUUGCGAGGGGAUCCGGCGCGGGAGGGACGCGAGGCGCUCGAGCGACAUCGAUGGUGGCGAUGGGGUAAGAUCUGUGGCACGUGUUCGGCAGUCAUGCUCCUCUUUCCCUUGCCCUGCGCCAAGGGAUGGCAAAGAGGAGGAGGCUACUUCGUGGAUGGGCAAUGGUGUAUGGUGGCUGUGCUGAUGGUGCGCGUGAGGGGAUUGAGGCCACGAGCGACGGUUCCAGGCCUCCAGCACGAGGCACUGCCUCCGUAACCUAAUGCCUCCCUCCGUGUCUCCUUGAUCGGCACACCACACCAUCGUAGGCCUCCCCUCGCCUCUCCCAUCCGCUAGCGCACAAGCACAACGGCAGGCACCUCCGGAUCCUAUCUCCCUUCCCUCGUCCGGACGGUAGGUGUCCAAAUUUUCUGAGAGCUGAGAUAGGCGGCCAUGGGAGUCGAUGCUCAAAGUGAACUUGGGGAGCCGGAUUUCCUCCCUGGUCCGGUUGAUUGUUUUGGGCCUGAUGAUGAUGACGUUUUUCAGCUGACAUGAACAUGGUGUUCUUGAUGUGGAUGAUGUAGCAGGCAAUGGCCACACCGGCCAAGGGUCACAUGAGCAAGUGAACCAGACACUCCUACUGGGGACGGCUCAGAUGCUAGAAGACAUAUGUUAUCAUAUUAUAGGCUCAUCUUCGCUGUUAUAAGUACCACACACAACAUAUGACAUCUCAUAUUACGCCUACACAGGCAAUUAUAACAUGUGUUCCUAAUAUCAUAUGUGCCAAGAACACAAACAGUAGUAGAUAUGGGACUUGCUGUGUCCAAAGCACUGUCCAUUUUUGCGAAAAGGAGUCCCUCAAGAAUCCUCUGAAUAUAAUCUCUUACUGUAUCGAUUCCUUUUUUACUGCUAUCAUAAAAUAAAGUCUGUAGCUACAGUUGCUUGAGUACAGCUCAUGUUUCAGUUAUGGACAUGUGGUUUAUGCGUCUUGGCCAUGUUCUAAAAUUCUAGGGAUGUAAAAAGUGAUCAUCAUAACCAAAUUUCUCAUCUAUGAAAGUUAAGUUAAUCUAUACCCAUGUGACGUUCUUAACCUAAUAUUCUUAGCACUUAAUUUGUAGGCCAGCAGUCAUAUACCCUAGAAAGUUUAUUCAUGGUGCAUUACAACAAUUUUUUAUGUAGUAGGUAGUACAGUAGUAGUAUCUUAUCUUUGCAUAUGUUCUAUCUGAAACCAAUUUGUCAGUAUGUAUGUUUUCCUAUGAUUACAUCUCUAAUUAGUGUACUUUCUUAAAUAAUUUAUCUGCUAAUGUUUAUCCCUUUUUUGUGAGCAGACAUGUCUUCGUGAUCAUCUGUACAUAUGCUAAUGGCAGCUUUAGCAUUGCAAAUCAACCUUUAUAUUUGUAUCAUUAAUUUGCAGUGCAUAGUUUGUGAUUUAAUCAUUCACCCAACUGGUAGGAUCUGAAUCCGGAGGACUCCAUACCAUGGCAUUUAAUCUUCUUACAUGUUGGAAUUUUCAUGCAACAACUGAUGGUAAAGAUUGUGUGGCUAAAUUGGUCGUACUCACAUGAACAAUUAGUUGCACCUUUUGUCUUCUGGCUCCUAAAAUUGACGUCUAGAGAUGAUACCCAAAUUUUGCAGGCUGACAAAAAACGUUAUAGUUUAAUUGAAGGGAGAAUGGAAAUUUCAAUAUUGGCAUCCGUAUAUAAAGCCUUCUAUGUCUUUUUUUAAGGUCACAAACAAGAAAACAUGCAGUCAUCUAUGCUGAUGCUACACGAUUGACGCUUGUGGCCGCCGGCUGGGGGCUGUUCAGGAAAACGAAAAUGGUGGCGUGCAAGGACAACCAAGGAGAUCACAUCCACCUACUUUUGGCUGUUUGUGUGAGUAGAUGGCUUCACCUUGGCUUGCUCUGAGUAUUGCAACGUUGGUUAUUACUCUCCCCUUUGUUAAAAUCUAAGUGCAGGUCUCUCUUCUCUGGCGAGUCAUUCCAAUCAUUCCGUUGGGGCUCUGCAUCCCAUCUGAAUGGGUACAUUACCCAUCCAGAAUCAGCCAUCAGCUCUGCUCCGUGUGGUAGUCCAUCGCUGAAUUGUAUUGUCCUUUGCUUCUGGGUAUAGAACUACAUAUCACAUGGACCUCUCCCUGGAAGCAAGCAAUCAUCUUUGACUCUUCUUCUCUCAUGGAUGAGCGACCACCUGAAGGUGCUUCGGUAUAGUUCUUCCAUUCUUCAAUGAAAUAUUACAUUGACUUUCCAUGGCCUGGAAGAAAAAGACUGUAGUUAAUUUCUGUGGUUGAGAUAAUUACUACAAAAGGUGUUGGUCUUUUGGUCAGGCUGCAGAUUUGGCUAUUUAUGUAUGUUAUUUUAUAAAUUGUAUCUGGUGUUUGCAAAUAGUUGACAUGUUGGCAUUUUUUCUAAGACACAUGAAGUGGAGUUUUGACCUC